UACGUAGGGGGCAAGCGUUGUCCGGAUUUAUUGGGCGUAAAGAGCUCGUAGGUGGUUCGGUAAGUCGGAUGUGAAAUCUCCAGGCUCAACCUGGAGGGGUCAUUCGAUACUGCCGUGACUCGAGUCCGGUAGGGGAGUGUGGAAUUCCUGGUGUAGCGGUGGAAUGCGCAGAUAUCAGGAGGAACACCGGUGGCGAAGGCGGGAUCCUGGGCCAGUACUGACGCUGAGGAGCGAAAGCGUGGGGAGCAAACAGG
rnacentral:rRNA from 1 species